rnacentral:lncRNA from 1 species
CUACGACAUUCCUCGCCAAAGGGUGUCUUUUAAUCUUGACCCUUGUAAGUAUAAUCUUCAUCGCCUUCUUCUCACCUUCUCGCCUAUCAUCUGUACUUAACUUUAACUCCUUAUUAGAUAAACCUCAACAAACCGACCUCGAGGGCGAGCUCUUGACACGUGCCCAGGCUGUUGACGAUCUUGAUGCCGCCCAGAAGAAGCUCAACGAGAUCGUUACUCCGGAAUCGCUUCGCGAAUAUGGCUUUUAUAACAAGGGUUUUGGCCAAGUCCCUUUGAUAAAAUUCGACAAGAGGAAUAAGUCGAAGAAAGCUCUAGAGUGCCUUAAAA